GACGAACGCUGGCGGCGUGCUUAACACAUGCAAGUCGAACGGAAAGGCCCUGCUUUUGUGGGGUGCUCGAGUGGCGAACGGGUGAGUAACACGUGAGUAACCUGCCCUUGACUUUGGGAUAACUUCAGGAAACUGGGGCUAAUACCGGAUAGGAGCUCCUGCUGCAUGGUGGGGGUUGGAAAGUUUCGGCGGUUGGGGAUGGACUCGCGGCUUAUCAGCUUGUUGGUGGGGUAGUGGCUUACCAAGGCUUUGACGGGUAGCCGGCCUGAGAAGGUGACCGGCCACAUUGGGACUGAGGUACGGCCCAGACUCCUACGGGAGGCAGCAGUGGGGAAUAUUGCACAAUGGGCGGAAGCCUGAUGCAGCAACGCCGCGUGCGGGAUGACGGCCUUCGGGUUGUAAACCGCUUUCGCCUGUGACGAAGCGUGAGUGACGGUAAUGGGUAAAGAAGCACCGGCUAACUACGUG
rnacentral:rRNA from 1 species